rnacentral:rRNA from 1 species
UCAGCUCGUGUCGUGAGAUGUUGGGUUAAGUCCCGUUAACCGAAGCGCAACCCUUGUCCUUAGUUACCAGCACGGUUAUGGUGGGCGACUCUAAGGAGACUGCCGGUGCAAACCGGAGGAAGGUGGGGAUGACGUCAAGUCAUCAUGGCCCUUACGGCCUGGGCUACACACGUGCUACAAUGGUCGGUACAAAAGGGUUGCCAAGCCGCGAGGUGGAGCUAAUCCCAUAAAACCGAUCGUAGUCCGGAUCGCAGUCUGCAACUCGACUGCGUGAAGUCGGAAUCGCUAGUAAUCGUGAAUCAGAAUGUCACGGUGAAUACGUUCCCGGGCCUU